GACGAACGCUGGCGGCGUGCUUAACACAUGCAAGUCGAGCGAUGAAGCACCUUCGGGUGUGAAUUAGCGGCGAACGGGUGAGGAACACGUGAAGAAUCUGCCUUCAACUCUGGGAUAACUCCGGGAAACCGGGGCUAAUACCGGAUAUGAGCCUUGAUCGCAUGAUCGGGGCUGGAAAGUUUUUCGGUUGAAGAUGACUUCGCGGCCUAUCAGCUUGUUGGUGAGGUAAUGGCUCACCAAGGCGACGACGGGUAGCCGGCCUGAGAGGGCGACCGGCCACACGGGGACUGAGACACGGCCCAGACUCCUCCGGGAGGCAGCAGUGGGGAAUAUUGGGCAAUGGAGGAAACUCUGACCCAGCGACGCCGCGUGAGGGAUGAAGGCCUUCGGGUUGUAAACCUCUUUCAGUAGGGAAGAAGCGAAAGUGACGGUACCUACAGAAGAAGCACCGGCUAACUAUGUGCCAGCCGCCGCAGUAA
rnacentral:rRNA from 1 species